UACGGGAGGCAGCAGUAGGGAAUAUUGGGCAAUGGAGGAAACUCUGACCCAGCCAUGCCGCGUGAAGGAUGAAGGUCCUACGGAUUGUAAACUUCUUUUAUUAGGGAAGAAACGUCUCGAUUCAUCGGGAUUUGACGGUACCUAAGGAAUAAGCACCGGCUAACUCCGUGCCAGCAGCCGCGGUAAUA
rnacentral:rRNA from 1 species